rnacentral:rRNA from 1 species
UACGUAGGGGGCAAGCGUUGUCCGGAUUUAUUGGGCGUAAAGCGCUCGCAGGUGGUUCGUCGCGUCGUGCGUGAAAGACCCCGGCUCAACUGGGGGAGGUCGUGCGAUACGGGCGAACUGGAGGCCAGUAGGGGGAUGCGGAAUUCCGGGUGUAGUGGUGGAAUGCGUAGAUAUCGUAAGGAAGACCAGUGGCGAAGGCGGGUCUCUGGACAGUUCCUGACGCUGAGGCACGAAGGUCAGGGGAGCAAACGGG